UCUGGGACAAGCCCUGGAAACGGGGUCUAAUACCGGAUAUGACCACUAGGGGCAUCCCUUGGUGGUGUAAAGCUCCGGCGGUGCAGGAUGAGCCCGCGGCCUAUCAGCUUGUUGGUGAGGUAACGGCUCACCAAGGCGACGACGGGUAGCCGGCCUGAGAGGGCGACCGGCCACACUGGGACUGAGACACGGCCCAGACUCCUACGGGAGGCAGCAGUGGGGAAUAUUGCACAAUGGGCGAAAGCCUGAUGCAGCGACGCCGCGUGAGGGAUGACGGCCUUCGGGUUGUAAACCUCUUUCAGCAGGGAAGAAGCGARAGUGACGGUACCUGCAGAAGAAGCGCCGGCUAACUACGUGCCAGCAGCCGCGGUAAUACGUAGGGCGCAAGCGUUGUCCGGAAUUAUUGGGCGUAAAGAGCUCGUAGGCGGCUUGUCACGUCGGUUGUGAAAGCCCGGGGCUUAACCCCGGGUCUGCAGUCGAUACGGGCAGGCUAGAGUUCGGUAGGGGAGAUCGGAAUUCCUGGUGUAGCGGUGAAAUGCGCAGAUAUCAGGAGGAACACCGGUGGCGAAGGCGGAUCUCUGGGCCGAUACUGACGCUGAGGAGCGAAAGCGUGGGGAGCGAACAGGAUUAGAUACCCUGGUAGUCCACGCCGUAAACGGUGGGCACUAGGUGUGGGCAACAUUUCCACGUUGUCCGUGCCGCAGCUAACGCAUUAAGUGCCYCGCCUGGGGG
rnacentral:rRNA from 1 species